AGACUAUUCCUGCUGUAGCCAAGAAUUUGGGCCGGAUGACCACUAAGAUCCUUUGCAGUAUCCAUAUUCUAAGAUUCUGUUUUCCUGGGAAGGUGUAAACUGCUUUAUCUUCAGGUUAGCUCUUAACUCAUGAGCUGGGACAAUGCUCUUUCCCCUAGGAAAGGCGACUUUCCACCAAGAACACCAUUGUGUAGAGGCACCUACUGUGCCAGGCACUGUUGGAGGCACUGGGGAUGAAUCAGCAAGCAAGACAGAAGGUCCCUGCACUCACAGAACUUACUGCUCAGGAGUCUGGCUCUCUGGGAGGUGGUGUGGCCCAGUGCCUGAGAGCAGGGCUCCGGAGCCAAACUGCUUGGGUUCAAAUCCUGGUCCUGCCACUUACUAGCCAUGCAGAAAAGAGUUAACAUCUCCAGCCAGAGACUGGCAUCCUCUGAAAGCCCUUCCUGUAGGGCUGGGCCUCAGCUGACGCCUGGGAACAUGGA